rnacentral:lncRNA from 1 species
UGUUUCUUUUGCAAACCCUAGAUCUGGUUCUUCGUUCUCCUUCUCUUAAACUCUGUCGCUCCAUAACCCUAACUCUCAAUUCGCCAUGGAGGAUGCCUAUCUGACCCGUGUAUGUUGACCCGCUAUAUUUUGACUCAUCUACGUUAUUUUCCAAAACCCUAGACAGCCUUCCUUUCCAUUCUGCUUCAUCUCCAUUCUGGUUCACGCAUAUGCAUUCGAACGAUUCAAGCAUCAGUUACUAUGGAGAAAUCAGAGUCGGUGGUAGCCAAAACAAGAGAGGGACGUAGAUUUUGACUGGUUGGAAGAUAGAGAAAAGAAGUGGGUGAUGGUGGAUUCAAGCGAUUCUGUAUUUGUUGAUAUGGAAACGAUUUAUCUUGGUGGAAAGUGGAGUGUUUGUAACUAUUAUGAAGAUUUUUUAUGAUUCCAACAAGAUGGUCAACAUAAAAUACAUGACAUUAACAACACCAGUCAACUUAAACAAGUUCUUGGAAGCCAUCAAGAUACAUGUUAUUCAUGCAGUUUACAUGGUUUUUGCUGUAGAUAGAUAUGGAGUAAGGACUAAAGCCGGUAAGAAACAAUCAUCAGAAGAUGAAGAUGCUGGUGUCAAAAUAGCACAUUCUGCAGGAGCUUCAAUUCGACGACACAAUGAACUUGCCUUAAAUAAGUGGGACAGGUAAAAGAGCUAUAUGAUGAAAUAUGACUUCGUUCACCUCACUGAGCGGUGGAUGCAGUUAGACUAUGAUUUGUAACGCAAGUGUGUGGAGGUGACUUCACUGAGCGGUGGAUGCGGUAGUAUUGUACAUGAACGAACUUCAUGAGAAGAAGGAUGAGAAGGUUCAACCAGUCAAAAAGAAGAAAUCAUGGACUCAAACUUUCUUUUCAAUGUCUAACAAACGCAAGCGGAUCACCAUGACUAACUGAACACGUAACUUGCACGAGUGUCAAACCGUCAAUGAGUUUUUAUGAGAUGCUGAGCUGUCAUGGGCUGGAACUAUGAACAAACCUAAGUUCUUCAAUUCUGUGAAAUCAGUACAUUACAAGGGGCUUUCGAUUGCAGAUGAAGGAAGGUAGAGGUGGGAGGACAGCGCGAUGGUAAAUGCUCCGCCAUUGUUCGAAACUUAUAAGCAUGCAAAGAACCAGAUGUUGAUACUGGAAUCCCGUUUAAAGCUGAUGCAAUGAUAGCCAAUCCCCCAGCAUAUAUGGCCUACAAGCGAAUUUCCUCAUCCUCUAUCUCGUGUCAAGCAACCGGCUGGUUAUAGACCGUCAUAUCAAAUAGUUGACUCUUUGAUUUGGCUUGGAAUUCGGGACAUGAUAAAUGAUUUUAGGAAGAAAAAGUUAAAGUUGCGGCCUGUCGCCUGUCACAUAUUUAAGUGGCUCUCAAGCCGAAAGGUGAUUUGCAUGCACUCUUUUUUAUACAUUAUUAGUUUAGUUAAAGCUGGUUUAGGGUAUUCUAAAACCCCGGUGUUUUGCUUAAUGAUUACCCCGUCGAUCUUUUCCUUUUAGACUGUAGUUUAGAUGAUAAGGCCACAUAGAGCUGGGCUUGCACAAUCAAUAUGAACUUCUUUUGUUGAAAACAGGUCCAAUGGUAAUUAUCAUUAUCAUUAUAAAAGAGGUGUCCACAACCUCUAUUUUUUUCAUAUUUACAACAAUGCCAUCCAUGGUUUUUUUUCUUCUUUUUGUGUAUUCGACCCUUCAAGUUUUAGCAUUGCCACUUACACUCCCUAAGUUUUCUAAAUACUUCGUAAAAUGUCAUUUUGAUCCCCCUCGAGAAUUACGUGCUUAUUUUUAUGCACGUGGGUCAAAUAUAAUAAAACGUUUUCUUGCUUAUUUUUAUGUACGUUUUUUUGUUGAUCUACGGUUUGUUUGGAAACGAGUCGGGUCAGAUAUAAUUCGUUUUUACUAGGUAGUAUAAAUUCGAGUUACUUUACGUUUCGACUCCGCUCCAACGCGUGGAACCAUUUUUUAACGUUAAAAACACUAUUUUCUUACGUGCUUAUUUUGAAGUACAUUUCGUUAUAAAUCUAAGUUGGGAAACGUUUCGACGUAAAUUUUCUCGGUAAUGAGUCAAGUUAGGUCAAAUGUUAUACGUUUUCGUGCUUAUUUUCAUGUACGUUUUCAGUUGGUCUAUGUUUUGACGUAAAUUUUGUUCGGAACGACUCAAAUAUUAGACGGUAUAAGUUUGAGUUACUUUAAGUUUCAACGCCGCCGAAACGCGCGGCGGGUCAAAGUACUAUUUAUAAUUAUUAGCUGAAAGUGAAACAUGUAGACAUAUUUAACAGGUUAAACGGGUCAAGAGGUUCUAAACAUGUAUUAAUUUACGUCCUAGAUUGUUUUCUUGAUCAAUUUUGAAACCUUUGUUGGUGUUGGUUGUUGCUUUGCACCAAGGAAUAUUGAUGCUUCAAAUCAUGGUUUGUGUUUACUGUUACAACGAGAUAAGGCCUUGACUUGUGAUUGCUGUUGCAAAGGGAUUAUUGUAAAAUGUGACAAGUAAAAUGUUAAAAUGGUCCCUGAGUUUAGGCCCUUUUCGUCACUUCAGACCAAAAAAUGAAACUUUUUGUAUCUGGGUCCCCCUUUUUGACGUUUUACACCAAGUAUCAACCUUAAUCAUCCUUUGAUCGGGUAGGUUUUCAACCUUAUAUAUGUUAAGUUUUUUAUUCAGCUAAGAUUUCGUGUUUUAUUAUGCAGAUAUGCAAUGAUAAAGAUCAAGCAAAUUCAUGGUUUCGUGACUUAAAACUGUACUUUACUCGCUUUGUUUUUUUUUUUUUUAAAUUAAGGAAUUUUGGCUUGAGUUGUAGUCAUAUAAGUUUAAUAAAUUUUGGCCUUAUUAAGUUUUUAAACUAUAAUUUGUUUAACCAAGUGAUAUUAAGCCGAUAAUAAUUGAUUUUGUUAUGUUUCAUGUU